rnacentral:rRNA from 1 species
GAUGAACGCUGGCGGCGUGCCUAAUACAUGCAAGUCGAGUGAACAGACGAGGAGCUUGCUCCUCUGACGUUAGCGGCGGACGGGUGAGUAACACGUGGAUAACCUACCUAUAAGACUGGGGUAACUUCGGGAAACCGGAGCUAAUACCGGAUAAUAUAUUGAACCGCAUGGUUCAAUAGUGAAAGACGGUUUUGCUGUCACUUAUAGAUGGAUCCGCGCCGCAUUAGCUAGUUGGUAAGGUAACGGCUUACCAAGGCAACGAUGCGUAGCCGACCUGAGAGGGUGAUCGGCCACACUGGAACUGAGACACGGUCCAGACUCCUACGGGAGGCAGCAGUAGGGAAUCUUCCGCAAUGGGCGAAAGCCUGACGGAGCAACGCCGCGUGAGUGAUGAAGGUCUUCGGAUCGUAAAACUCUGUUAUUAGGGAAGAACAAAUGUGUAAGUAACUAUGCACGUCUUGACGGUACCUAAUCAGAAAGCCACGGCUAACUACGUG